GUAUUCAUAUCAGCAGCACAAACUAAAACUGAAUCAAUACAAGAGAUGAUUAGCAUGACCCUUCUGCAAAGAUGAUAUGAAAACUUAUAAAUAUAGUUACAUAGUGU
rnacentral:sRNA from 1 species